rnacentral:rRNA from 1 species
UCGGGAAUUUUGGGCAAUGGGCGAAAGCCUGACCCAGCAACGCCGCGUGAGGGAUGAAGGCCUUCGGGUCGUAAACCUCUGUCGGGAGGGAAGAAAGGUCGUUAGUCGAAUAGGCUGAAGGCUUGACGGUACCUCCAAAGGAAGAUCCGGCUAACUCCGUGCCAGCAGCCGCGGUAAUACGGAGGGAUCAAGCGUUGUUCGGAAUUACUGGGCGUAAAGCGCGUGUAGGCGGCUUCGUCAGUCGGAUGUGAAAUCCCAGGGCCCAACCCUGGAACUGCAUCCGAUACUGCGGAGCUGGAGUCCUGGAGAGGAUGGCGGAAUUCCGGGUGUAGAGGUGAAAUUCGUAGAUAUCCGGAGGAACACCAGUGGCGAAGGCGGCCAUCUGGACAGUGACUGACGCUGAGACGCGAAAGCGUGGGGAGCAAACAGGAUUAGAUACCCCCGUAGUCC